rnacentral:misc_RNA from 1 species
GAUAGAGAAUAAAUAAAAGUAAAACAAAAAAAUCAAAUAUGAAUGGCAAAGCGUUCAAUACAGAAGUGAGUGAGCAGGGAUAGGAAUUAAAGAGAGAAUUUUUCCAUUAACAGCUUAAAACAUUAGGUGUAUCGAGAAGAAUUCAUCUAUUAUAUUAUCCCAGCAACAAAAGCACUCUGCUAAAUACUCCCACAAAGUAGCAACAUCUAAAUUUCCAUGCUAUUUGUAUAGCAUAAAACUACCUUCCAACAGUUAACAAUAGCCUAUCACUGAUGCAGAAAUUUGACACUAAAGAGAUCAUAUAAUCUGUUAAAGACUUGCAACACCCAAAACGACGCCAAUGAGAACUUUAAACAUUAAUGAAAUGUAAUGGCAAAAUA